AACGAACGCUGGCGGCAGGCUUAACACAUGCAAGUCGAGCGCCCCGCAGGGGGAGCGGCAGACGGGUGAGUAACGCGUGGGAAUCUACCCAUCUCUACGGAAUAACGCAUGGAAACGUGUGCUAAUACCGUAUACGUCCUUCGGGAGAAAGAUUUAUCGGAGAUGGAUGAGCCCGCGUUGGAUUGGCUAGUUGGUGGGGUAAAGGCCUACCAAGGCGACGAUCCAUAGCUGGUCUGAGAGGAUGAUCAGCCACACUGGGACUGAGACACGGCCCAGACUCCUACGGGAGGCAGCAGUGGGGAAUAUUGGACAAUGGGCGCAAGCCUGAUCCAGCCAUGCCGCGUGAGUGAUGAAGGCCCUAGGGUUGUAAAGCUCUUUCACCGGUGAAGAUAAUGACGGUAACCGGAGAAGAAGCCCCGGCUAACUUCGUGCCAGCCGCCGCGGUAAGAC
rnacentral:rRNA from 1 species